ACUAUGAUGUGUUAUUUCCAAGCACAUAUCUGACUGCUUUUUGUGGAAACCUGCCUAUUUCUGAGU
rnacentral:snoRNA from 1 species